GGAGGAAUGGCCUUAUCGUUAAGGUACUGGACUGGGACCCAGGAGAUCUGGGUUGGUUCAGUUCCUGGUUCUUCCA
rnacentral:tRNA from 1 species